rnacentral:lncRNA from 1 species
AUGUGCUAUCAAAACGGAGACCGAGACCUUGGGUGUCCUUACAGCCUCUCGAGUGGCGAGUGCUCCAGCUUGUUGCCACGUAGCCUGGGGGCAAGACACACAUGGCCUCUCCCUGCGCAGCCUGGCUGUCACCAGCACCAGGAGAGGAAGGACCGUGGAGCCCGCACCUGCAAAGUCACCCUAGAAGUCUCUGGCGCUGCCCUUGACUGCUGUACGGGGAGGUCAGGGAAGGGAAGAGGAUGCCAGUGUCAUACAGCACGUCAUGGGGACGGUAAGGGGUCCUCCGGCCGCUGCAAACUGUCCUACGCCCCCUGGGGAGACACCCUCCUGGCCCUGCACCGUGUCCCCUGGGGGUUAUCCUUGGAACCCUGGGGGUUCCGCCCAAGGAAGACUAAUGGGAUCUGAGGGGCGGAGAGCGGAGGGGUGGGGGGCUCGGCCCACAAGGUGAGUGGCGCAUUCGUCUGAAGCCAGGCUGGCCUGGGGCUUUGCUAACCGCUUUGAGCAUAAACAUUUCCAUAUGUCCAACAGGCUGAUUAGCCACCCAGGGACGGGGAGGGGAGAGAUCGUGAAUAAGGAAUCCAUAUUAACCCAAGAUCCAGCGAUAGGGGCCCAGCUGAAAGAAAUUAAAAAGAUCAUGUUUUCGAGCACUGGCCCUCCAACAGGGGAGCUUUUCUAGCUGCCAGGGAGCGUGUUACAAAUUUCAGACACUAACAUAUUGACAAAAGCAAACAAAUAAACAAAAGUUGAAAUGCA